UACGAAGGGGGCUAGCGUUGCUCGGAAUCACUGGGCGUAAAGCGCACGUAGGCGGCUUUCUAAGUCAGGGGUGAAAUCCUGGAGCUCAACUCCAGAACUGCCUUUGAUACUGGAGAGCUCGAGUCCGGAAGAGGCGAGUGGAACUGCGAGUGUAGAGGUGAAAUUCGUAGAUAUUCGCAAGAACACCAGUGGCGAAGGCGGCUCACUGGUCCGGUACUGACGCUGAGGUGCGAAAGCGUGGGGAGCAACAGGG
rnacentral:rRNA from 1 species